rnacentral:rRNA from 1 species
CCUACGGGAGACAGCAGUGGGGAAUAUUGGGCAAUGGAGGCAACUCUGACCCAGCAACGCCGCGUGAAUGAUGAAGGUCUUCGGAUUGUAAAGUUCUUUUCUAAGGGAAGAACGGUCACUGUGCUAAUCAGCAGUGAAUUGACGGUACCUGCAAAGGAAGCACCGGCUAACUCCGUGCCAGCAGCCGCGGUAAUACGGAGGAUGCGAGCGUUAUCCGGAUUUAUUGGGUUUAAAGGGUGCGCAGGCGGAAGAUCAAGUCAGCGGUAAAAUUGAGAGGCUCAACCUCUUCGAGCCGUUGAAACUGGUUUUCUUGAGUGAGUGAGAAGUAUGCGGAAUGCGUGGUGUAGCGGUGAAAUGCAUAGAUAUCACGCAGAACUCCGAUUGCGAAGGCAGCAUACCGGCGCUCAACUGACGCUCAUGCACGAAAGUGUGGGUAUCGAACAGGAUUAGAUACCCCAGUAGUC